UACGUAGGUCCCUAGCGUUGUCCGGAUUUAUUGGGCGUAAAGCGAGCGCAGGUGGUUUAUUAAGUCUGGUGUAAAAGGCAGUGGCUCAACCAUUGUAUGCAUUGGAAACUGGUAGACUUGAGUGCAGGAGAGGAGAGUGGAAUUCCAUGUGUAGCGGUGAAAUGCGUAGAUAUAUGGAGGAACACCGGUGGCGAAAGCGGCUCUCUGGCCUGUAACUGACACUGAGGCUCGAAAGCGUGGGGAGCAAACAGG
rnacentral:rRNA from 1 species